GACGAACGCUGGCGGCGUGCUUAACACAUGCAAGUCGAACGGAAAGGCCUCUUUCGGGGGGUACUCGAGUGGCGAACGGGUGAGUAACACGUGAGUAACCUGCCUUUGACUUUGGGAUAACUUCAGGAAACUGGGGCUAAUACCGGAUAGGAGCUCCUGCUGCAUGGUGGGGGUUGGAAAGUUUCGGCGGUUGGGGAUGGACUCGCGGCUUAUCAGCUUGUUGGUGGGGUAGUGGCUUACCAAGGCUUUGACGGGUAGCCGGCCUGAGAGGGUGACCGGCCACAUUGGGACUGAGAUACAGCCCAGACUCCUACGGGAGGCAGCAGUGGGGAAUAUUGCACAAUGGGUGGAAGCCUGAUGCAGCAACGCCGUGUGCGGGAUGACGGCCUUCGGGUUGUAAACCGCUUUCGCUCAUGACGAAGCUUUGUGUGACGGUAGUGGGUAAAGAAGCACCGGCUAACUACGUG
rnacentral:rRNA from 1 species